rnacentral:misc_RNA from 1 species
GUGGAACCAAGGUUUUCAUUAGAGUAGCUUACUGUAUGUAUUGUAGUACUUGUUCCAUUCUCUGUAUGUAGUUUUCUUCCUUUAGCUGUUUGAAGUAGGAAAAUACAUUAUAUCCUCCGAGUUAAGGCGGCUCUGUGAGGUUAUUUGCCUCAGUAUUACUUUUAAUGUUGUUGGAAACAGUAACGAGACGAAUAGAGAGAGACCUCUUCUGAAUUGUAUGCAAAAGAUGCUUCUUCUUGUACUUUAU